GGCUCAUUAAAAUGACAUAUUAUGAUGUACUUUACUUGCUUUGGUUUCUCUGCUGAAAUGUUGAUCAAUGUGUUCCUCAAUGAAAUGAAAUGUUCGUCAUUGUCUUCUCCUGUAGUGAAUUCUGGCAUUAAACAACUGAGAGGAAGGUGCUAA
rnacentral:lncRNA from 10 species